rnacentral:misc_RNA from 1 species
GUGAAUCAUCGAAUUUUUGAACGCAAAUUGCGCCUUUUUCGGAAGGCAUGUCUGUUUGAGGGCACCAUUUAAUAAAUAUUGUGCAGCGUUUUUUGUUUCACACGUUGAUGAGCUUUUCAAGAAUUUUAAAUUUUGGGUUGAACAUAAUGAACAGCGAGAAUGUUUGUUUCAGUUCGAGUUUAGUAAAAUCUUUUCUUUGGUUGUGAAAAAACAUAAUCGCGCAAUGAGUGGGGCAG